rnacentral:tRNA from 1 species
GGGCGUAUAGCUUAAUUGGCAGAGUACCGGGCUUUUAACCCGGGGGUUGCAGGUUCGAUGCCUGCUGCGCUCA